UGGGGAAUAUUGGACAAUGGGCGCAAGCCUGAUCCAGCCAUGCCGCGUGAGUGAUGAAGGCCCUAGGGUUGUAAAGCUCUUUCACCGGUGAAGAUAAUGACGGUAACCGGAGAAGAAGCCCCGGCUAACUUCGUGCCAGCAGCCGCGGUAAUACGAAGGGGGCUAGCGUUGUUCGGAUUUACUGGGCGUAAAGCGCACGUAGGCGGACUUUUAAGUCAGGGGUGAAAUCCCGGGGAUCAACCCCGGAACUGCCUUUGAUACUGGAAGUCUUGAGUAUGGUAGAGGUGAGUGGAAUUCCGAGUGUAGAGGUGAAAUUCGUAGAUAUUCGGAGGAACACCAGUGGCGAAGGCGGCUCACUGGACCAUUACUGACGCUGAGGUGCGAAAGCGUGGGGAGCAAACAGG
rnacentral:rRNA from 1 species